rnacentral:rRNA from 1 species
CCCUAUGGGGUGCUCGAAAUCAAUCAAAGCACGUACUUGGCAGAGAUUGAGCGGAUUUGUCAAAACCUUGGCUAUCGCCCAUUCUGCGAUGCGGCCUUUCAGGAAGUGCGAUUAUUGGACGUGACCGGCGGACCGCAAGGAGAGUUUACGCCAGAUGAGGAUGCAAUCGUGUCUGCUGCCUUUGCUCGGGAUCACGCGCGUAUCCCCGCCUCCGUUCUUGCUUCUGAUGAUUCCUCAGGGGAAGCGUUUGCCUACGGAAAGCACGGGACGGGGGCGAACUUCAACGGCGGGAACUUUGCUAUCACGGGUAUCAACAACCUCACAUGGGCUUCGACCGUGGGAAUCAAGGGCGCGUCUUUGGCAGAGAUCGCGCACAAGACAUAUGACCUUGCCCGUGGGGGGUCUACCAACCUCUCUGUUGUCAUGGCGGGGGGGC